UCUUCUCUCGGUGUGUGUUAUCUGUGAUGGACUGCUCAGGUCUUCUCUCGGUGUGUGUUAUCUGUGAUGGACUGCUCAGGUCUUCUCUCAGUGUGUGUUAUCUGUGAUGGACUGCUCAGGUCUUCUCUCGGUGUGUGUUAUCUGUGAUGGACUGCUCAGGUCUUCUCUAGGUGUGUGUUAUCUGUGAUGGACUGCUCAGGUCUUCUCUAGGUGUGUGUUAUCUGUGAUGGACUGCUCAGGUCUUCCCUAGGUGUGUGUUAUCUGUGAUGAACUGCUCAGGUCUUCUCUAGGUGUGUGUUAUCUGUGAUGGACUGCUCAGGUCUUCCCUAGGUGUGUGUUAUCUGUGAUGGACUGCUCAGGUCUUCUCUAGGUGUGUGUUAUCUGUGAUGGACUGCUCAGGUCUUCUCUAGGUGUGUGUUAUCUGUGAUGGACUGCUCAGGUCUUCUCUCGGUGUGUGUUAUCUGUGAUGGACUGCUCAGGUCUUCUCUAGGUGUGUGUUAUCUGUGAUGGACUGCUCAGGUCUUCUCUCGGUGUGUGUUAUCUGCGAUGGACUGCUCAGGUCUUCUCUAGGUGUGUGUUAUCUGUGAUGGA